rnacentral:lncRNA from 1 species
UGCACUCCAACCUGGGCGACUGAGCUGGACUUAAAAAAAAGGUAAGUAAGCCUUCAAGUCUAUCCAAUCUUAAUUUGUAAUCUCAAAUGGAUGUCCAUAUUAACAAAAUUUUCUUGUUUUUCCUGUUUGUGUCUUUUUAGUUUAAUCUUCUUGUCCUUGACACUGAAAUUUUUUUCUCUCCAACAACUUGCCGUCGUUUCUCGGAAUAGAGCUGCUUUCUCUGCAGGAAGGGUGUAGUUGAUUCAACCGCCACCCACUCACGCCAGCCCCGAUUCCAUUUCGGAUGCCCCCAUGAGGACUGUGCGCUCCUGUACUGGAACUCAAGCGACCACUUGGCUCAAAAUCCAUUGCUAUUCUCUAGAAAUCCAGCCCAAUUCUCUUGGUUAAAGAUAAGGCUGGAGUGCAUUGGCACGAUCUCGUCUCACUGCAACCUCC